rnacentral:rRNA from 1 species
UACGGGGGGGGCAAGCGUUGUUCGGAAUUACUGGGCGUAAAGCGCACGUAGGCGGGUCGUUAAGUCGGGGGUGAAAUCCUGGAGCUCAACUCCAGAACUGCCUUCGAAACUGACGAUCUUGAGUUCGGGAGAGGUGAGUGGAACUGCGAGUGUAGAGGUGAAAUUCGUAGAUAUUCGCAAGAACACCAGUGGCGAAGGCGGCUCACUGGCCCGAUACUGACGCUGAGGUGCGAAAGCGUGGGGAGCAAACAGG